AGAAGAGAGAUGGUUAUGAACAAAAUGGAAGGGACAAAGAUGGUGGUGAGAAAGCUGAACCCAAGUGGGGAGAUGGGCUGCUGUGGCUGCAUCAAAAUAAAGCCAAAGAAGGUAGUGGACUCGAGUCCAAGUGAAGAACAGCACAGCUUCAGCAAACAGAAACAUGGAGAUGGAAGUGGUUUUCCAGCAAAGAGAAAGUCAGUGAUGGGAAUGAUAUGGAAAUUUGUAGCAGCCAAAAUCUGCACCAACCCCACAGCCCAACACUAAGGUCGCUUGCUGCUUCCAGAAGAAGGGUAAGGGUAACCCACCACACCACCAUGACCAUUGUUCAAGAAGAGAAAGGAAAAUAGAGGCAUAUUUGGUUAGUAAGAAGAGAAAGGAAAAUAGAGGCAUAUUUGGUUAGUAACCAUAAAUAAAGGGUUGUAGAAUUUUUGCAGUGUACUUCUUUUUCUUUUCUUUUUUCAGUGUACUUUUUUAUGCUUUUGUGAUUUCUCUGUUUUUGGAAUAGGAAAAUGAAUAUGCAAGAUUAACUAUAUUUAGUAUGCUUUUGUGGCAUUUAUUAUGGCAAGAUCUUUUUUUUUUUUCUUUGCUAAAAGAGAAAGAGUUAUAAUUAGAACACCAAAUUAGUUUGAUUGAAGUUUUGUUGUCCACCCUUUCAUGGGUCUAGUCAAGGUUGGAUUGGAAGAACAGUAUUCUCAAAUCUCAAUUGCUUCUAUUGAUUCCUGAUCAAA